CACAAGUCCAACCCAAUCAAAUUUCAUUAUUCAGUUUUUUAUUAUCUAAGAAUAAGAAAUAACCAAAAUGUAGCAAAAAAAUUAAACGAACAAAGUAACAUGUGUGGAUUAGGGUUAAAUUCUUGUGAUGCUUCAUCUUCCAAACAAAAUCAACUCCCUCUCUCUUCGUGCAGAUGGGCCGAUCAACUUCCAUCAUCGGUGGCUUGUCUCAUCAUGAUCUCAGACUACUCCUUCAUCUUCGUCAGCGGAAACCUUAACCCCAGCGAUCUCCGAUGCUACGCCAUGAGUCAGCAUCUCCUUCGUCUCAUGGAGAAAAUCGUUGUGUUGAUGAGAAGUGAAAAUGAACUAUGA